GUCUACGGCCAUACCACCCUGAACGCGCCCGAUCUCGUCUGAUCUCGGAAGCUAAGCAGGGUCGGGCCUGGUUAGUACUUGGAUGGGAGAAAGCUUCGGCUCCCAGCGAGGGAUCCUUGGUGCUUUCUGUA
ensembl:rRNA 5S_rRNA 5S ribosomal RNA